GGGGGAGUGCCGGAACUGGUAGACGGGCCAGAUUUAGGAUCUGGUGCAGCGAUGCGUCGGGGUUCGAGUCCCCGCUCCCCCAC
rnacentral:tRNA from 1 species